UGGCGGCCUUGGGAGCGGGCCGUUUCCGGGGGUCUCCUGGGCUGCCAGAUCCGCAGAGCGGGGACGCGCAGCGUUCGGAACGCUGCCGCCGGCC
rnacentral:tRNA from 1 species